ACAGCCUUGGCCCGAGCGGUUAAGGCGAUAGACUCGAAAUCUAUUUGGGGUAACCCGCGUGAGUUCAAGUCUCACAGCUGUC
rnacentral:tRNA from 1 species